UGUGUGUGUGCGCGCUGGUGUGUGUGUUUGUGUGUGUUUGUGUUGUGUGAGUGUGAAGAGCUGCGCGCCGGUCGUCAGCUGAUCCUUCUCGGUGCGCGCUAUCGCUCACCUCAGCUCAAGACAAGCUUUAGGCUCCAGCCGGGCGAGCCGUUUACCGUUCAGUCUUCUUUAGCUAGUUAACGCUAUAUCGGCAGAGCCAGAAACCGGCUUCAGCUUCUUUUUCUACCACAGAGAGAGAGACCGGGAGCGAGGCAGCCCGGCGGUACCUGAAGACGGAGAGAGCGAGAUAGGAGAGAAAAUGUCGCGUCCAGGAAAGCCAGUACUGGUGGUGUUGGGAGUGCUGGUGCUGCACACUGUAGUGUUUGCACAGAACGCGGGUUUUGUGAAGUCUCCCCUAUCUGAGACUAAACUGACUGGUGACACGUUUGAGCUAUACUGUGAUGUAAUUGGAACCCCCACCCCUGAGGUCCAGUGGUGGUAUGCAGAAGUGGACAGUGUUAAUGGCUUCAUCCAGCUGUGGGAUGGUGCACGUGGCCAGCGCGUUUCCAUAAACACUGCAUAUGGAUCCAAUGGUGUUAGUGUGCUUGCUGUUGUGCGUGUCAUCACGGGAGAUUCUGGGAUUUAUGAGUGCCGAGCCAGUAACAACCCGCAACGCAAUGAUCUUCACCAAAAUCCAUCAACUGUCUGGAUACGAGCCCAGGCAACAGUUACCGUUCUGCAGAAGCCAUUAAUUAAUGUGACUGAUCACAUCACCCUUCCCACGGAUACCAAUCUGCCACAAGUCACGCUGCAGUGUAACCUGACUACUGUAUCGUACAAUCAUCGCUGGAGCUACUGGACCAAGAAUGGAGAGGAAAUCCCGACCACACGGACUGAGCAGAAGAACAUUGAAUACAAAAUCAACAAGCCAAGGGCAGAGGACGCCGGGGAAUACAUGUGUGUUUAUACGUUUGAGCUUGCGCCUUUAGCCAAUGCCAGCAUUGAGGUGAAAUCUGCUCCAGACAUCACAGGACAUAAGCGCAGUGAGAAUAAGAAUGAGGGAGAACGUGCUGUCCUCUACUGCAAGUCCGUGGGCUACCCUCACCCUCUGUGGACCUGGCGCAAGUUAGGCGAGGGUGCCUCCUUUGACAUUGACAAUUCCUCUGGCCGCUUUUUUAUCAGCAACAAGGAUAACUACACAGAGUUGUCCAUUAUUAACCUGGAUAUUGAAUCUGACCCUGGGGAGUACGAGUGCAGCGCCAACAACAUGAUCGGAAACUCUACCAUGACCUCAGUGCUCCGUGUUCGAAGUCACCUGGCCCCCCUGUGGCCCUUGCUGGGGGUCCUAGCUGAAAUCAUUGUUUUGGUCCUCAUCAUUGUUAUCUAUGAGAAACGCAAGAAGCCUGAUGAGGUGCCUGAUGUGAGAGAACCUGCAUGAUCUUUGAGUCUGAAUUUGCUGUUCAUCCAAACAUUUCCACUACAUUCACCCAUAUAACAAUCUGCAUUAUACUCUCUUCCUGGCUUGAGUCUAAUAACUAGUGUUGGAUUAUUUUUUUCUUUGAAUAAAAUAGAGUGCUUCCCUCACUGUUACUAGUUUGACUUCAAACUGACCUCAUGGAAAAUUUCCCUUUUUUGUUAUUUCAUUUAUGUUUACAUAAGCAUGAUAUAUCUAGAUUCUUAGAAUAACAACAUUAUCAGUGUAUUUGAGUGUCAUAACAUGCAUUUGCUGUAAAACAACCAACAAAUACAUUUAUUCAGCUGAUAAUGCAACCCUGUCAUCUUUUGAAUGACAGCAAAAAACAUUAUUUGUUUUUUGUCUUUUAAUAGGAUUGUGACUUUUUGGUUUUACUAACAUGUAGCCCGCUGUGGAUCCAUACUGUAGAUUGUGGUGUGACAUAAUGCAUGAUAAUGCACUACAUAAGAAUGUGUCUGACGUACAAGUUUUACACUAACAUGCUUAAUGUUUUACUUCCUAAUCUGCUUAAGAUGAUGAACCAGCUGGCCCAAUGAAAACUAAUUCCACUAACAACCACAAAGACAAAAACCUACGUCAGAGGAACACAAACUGAGCUGUCCGAGAGUACAAUGAUGACAUUCAUAUCAUGACCAUAUGAACGUAACAUGGAGUUUUUUAUUUAGGAAAAAGUAUCUGGACUAAGAGAGAAGAUCUGUGAGAAGAAGUGCAUACGACCACUCGAGGCAUGCCUUAUAAGUUUGACGUGAAGAGGAUGUCCGACAAGAAUGAAUCAUGACUAUAAAUGCCGUGAAUAUUACAAAUAUUUUAUUGCAUGAUUGUGUUGCUUUUUAUUUAUUUUUCAUUCAUAAUGAUCUUUUGUUUUCAUGUCAACAAAUAGUGCAUGCAAGAUAUUAAUCUGCUAUUUGAUACAGGUAGGAGAUUUGGUUUGUGUGUUUUAGAGUGACUUCAUGUAGAUAACAUUUAUAUUUCAAGCAAAUGUUCUUUACACUUUGCAGCGUGUGCAAAUCUACCACUAUGUUUUUGGUAUGACAGUUUUUGUACAGUUUAUCAUUUCACUGCAUACCCUUUGGUAAGGUGGCUUAUGGUUUUCUUUUUAUUGUUGUUAUUAUUAUUAUUAUUAUUAUUAUUAUUAUUAUUAUUGAUUUAUGUUCUAGGCUUCAAUGACAGAUAAGGGCUUUUCAGUGUCCUUUGUUUAAUUUGUACAUAUAUUGUACAUUUAUUUAUUUCUGUAUGUAUCAUGUAUCUGGAGAUAUCCAUAGUUAUCUGAAUGUUCUUCAUUCUGAUGCACUUAAGUGUUCAGAUGUAAUUGCAAAUCAGUAAUGCCAUUUUCUUCUGAAUUCUAAACCUUAUCUAUCUAUGACUCAGCUUUCUAUGUAUGCAUUCUAUACAGCAUGGCUUAUAUCCUAUGCAAUAUUUGUUCAUAUAUAAAUAUAAAUAUAUAGUAGAUAAACAUUUUUUACAAUUGGCUUUUGGUUGCGUAUUUAAAGAUUUAAUAUUAUAGGUUUGCCAUUAAUAGCGAAAUGCUCUGUUCAAACCAUCAACCAAUGACACCUGACCAUGUCCUGACACUCAUUGCUCUACUACUCCAUCUGCAUGAGCUCCCUGCCUGUGCAGAGGUAUAACUGUGCAGAAAAAAUAUCAAAGUGGGUCAUACAGGACAUCCAUAUCAUUUUUAAGAAAUAAAAAUUCCAAAGUGA